UGAGGAAUAUUGGUCAAUGGGCGAGAGCCUGAACCAGCCAAGUAGCGUGCAGGAAGACGGCCCUAUGGGUUGUAAACCGCUUUUAUAUGGGGAUAAAGUGAGUUACGUGUAGCUUAUUGCAGGUACCAUAUGAAUAAGGACCGGCUAAUUCCGUGCCAGCAGCCGCGGUAAUACGGAAGGUCCAGGCGUUAUCCGGAUUUAUUGGGUUUAAAGGGAGCGUAGGCCGCCCCUUAAGCGUGUUGUGAAAUGCCGCGGCUCAACCGUGGCACUGCAGCGCGAACUGGGGGGCGUUGAGUGCACGCAACGCAGGCGGAAUUCGUGGUGUAGCGGUGAAAUGCUUAGAUAUCACGAAGAACUCCGAUUGCGAAGGCAGCUCACUGGAGCGCAACUGACGCUGAAGCUCGAAAGUGCGGGUAUCGAACAGGAUUAGAUA
rnacentral:rRNA from 1 species